UGCCUGUGUGUGUGUGUGUGUGUGUGUGUGCGCGCGCGCACACACACACACACACACACCUGCAUC